UACGAAGGGGGCUAGCGUUGUUCGGAAUCACUGGGCGUAAAGCGCACGCAGGCGGAUAAAUAAGUCAGGGGUGAAAUCCCGGGGCUCAACCUCGGAAUUGCCUUUGAUACUGUUUAUCUCGAGUUCGGGAGAGGUUGGCGGAAUUCCUAGUGUAGAGGUGAAAGUCGUAGAUAUUAGGAAGAACACCAGUGGCGAAGGCGGCCAACUGGCCCGAUACUGACGCUCAUGUGCGAAAGCGUGGGGAGCAAACAGG
rnacentral:rRNA from 1 species